GACAGUCUCAGUUCGGAUUGAAGGCUGAAAUUCGCCUUCAUGAAGCCGGAAUUGCUAGUAAUGGCAGGUCAGCAUACCGCGGUGAAUACGUUCCCGGGCCUUGUACACACCGCCCGUCACACCAUGAGAGUCGGGAACACCCGAAGUCCGUAGCCUAACCGCAAGGAGGGCGCGGCCGAAGGUGGGUUCGAUAAUUGGGGUGAAGUCGUAACAAGGUAAC
rnacentral:rRNA from 1 species